UACGUAGGUGGCGAGCGUUGUCCGGAUUUACUGGGCGUAAAGGGAGCGUAGGCGGACUUUUAAGUGAGAUGUGAAAUACUCGGGCUCAACUUGAGUGCUGCAUUUCAAACUGGAAGUCUAGAGUGCAGGAGAGGAGAAUGGAAUUCCUAGUGUAGCGGUGAAAUGCGUAGAGAUUAGGAAGAACACCAGUGGCGAAGGCGGUUCUCUAGACUGUAACUGACGCUGAGGCUCGAAAGCGUGGGGAGCAAACAGG
rnacentral:rRNA from 1 species